GCCAGUGUGGCAUAAUGGUUUGAGCGUUGGACUAGAACUCUGGAGAACAGGGUUCAAUUCCCAGCUCAGCCA
rnacentral:tRNA from 1 species